GAGGGUAUAGCUCAAGCAGUAGAGUGCAUGCUUAGCAUGCACGAGGUCCUGGGUUCACAAUCCCCAGUACUUCCU
rnacentral:tRNA from 1 species